rnacentral:tRNA from 1 species
GGGGAUGUAGCUCAGUGAUAAAUCACUUGCCUAGCAUGCAUGAGGCCCUGGGUUCCAUCCCCAGCACUCUUA